rnacentral:lncRNA from 1 species
CCCCACAGAACCCGGGAGGCCCCCGACUAAAAGGCCCAAUUUCAACGAUGCUCUUUAAUCAAAAAAAGAAAAACCGAUCCGUGAUGAAUCAGAAACACCAUCUGAUCCUCGGGAGAUGACUAACGCGCCGAGAAGAUGUUCUGUUUCUAGACGGAGGGUAGGUUUGAAGACACGCUUGCAUUUUUUUUUUCCCCUCUUUUCAUACACAGAAGGAGAUACUCCAACAGGAAGCAGCUUUCAGGAUGUCAAAAUAUUUUUGCAGCUUCCCUAUGGGCAACAGAACGUUUCUAAAAAUUUUUAUUUGGUGCCGUGUCACCUUGGAUGAUAAAGUUGCACAGGAUGCUAAGGGCCUGGCUGUCUCUUUAGCGUUUGGGUGGGGGCGUCCUCAUGCCUAAAACCCUUCAGGAAUUUGAGGGGUGGGGCCAAUGUUGGCCAUGAAUGAAUGGGCCUUGAAGUAGAGAAUUAGAGAGACGUGCAUUUGUAUUUGUCUUUCUUAGUUUUUUUUUUUUUUUUAAAAAAAUAUAUGUUUUUAAAGUGGAAGAUUUCAAUGCACAAAAACAAAGGCCAAAAAAUCAAGUCUGGACUUGGAGUUCUCACCGGAAGGCAGGGCAUGUGAAGACGGCCCAUUUGGCAGUCAGAUCUGUUCGAUCAAUUAGCUCUCAUCUGUCUCCAUAAAAACACUCAGAACAGGAAAUAAGCUCGGAUGAAUCAUUUAUCUGUUCAAUUAGAAAAAUCGGGCCCUUCACACCCACGCCCCACAGACCAAGCUCAAAUAAUUAACACGGUGACCGGAAGGCAGACACACGGGAAACGGGAGAGCCCGUCACACACACGCACACGGAGACCCCAGCGCCGGAAUUUGACUCUCUCUCCACAAGCAGCCCGGUUCUCAAAGGAGGUCUCGUCUAGGCGGAAAGGUCGAGUGGCAGCUGUCCCUUCAAACGAUAUAUUGAUUUUCUGUUUCAUUCUUGAGCACAUCUCUUCCAAACUCUGCUUUGGUCCCAAAUAGGGGAAGAUCCCACUGUUUUAAAAUCGAGAAAUCUCUGGCCGCAGCAUCCCGUUGGAAGCACCAUUCUCAACCCGUUUCAUGAAACGUGAAAUGUCUGUCAUCAAAGCCGUGACGGUGACCGGAGCUGGCUAAGACUCUGGGCCGGGGUGGAUGGGCAAAGAUGCCCCCAGACAGGUGGAGAUGAGCGCGAGGACCUGCUUGUUCUCUCGACCGUCCUCCAAAGGCGCCGAUGGGAGGACGAUGGCGCUGGUCCAAGGUCUGCACACCUCCAUCGCUUCUUGGAGGAUGAACAAUACACUCUUCCAUUAUUUGCAGGGAUUCACAUCCUCGAGCUUGACUAUGGAAAGACC